rnacentral:rRNA from 1 species
CGUGUAGGCGGUUUGGCAAGUCGAGUGUGAAAUCCCACGGCUCAACCGUGGAACUGCGCUCGAAACUGCCUUACUUGAGUGCGGGAGAGGUGUGCGGAAUUCCUGGUGUAGCGGUGGAAUGCGUAGAUAUCAGGAAGAACACCGGUGGCGAAGGCGACACACUGGCCCAGCACUGACGCUGAGGCGCGAAAGCGUGGGGAGCGAACG